rnacentral:rRNA from 1 species
GUCUACCACACCUAGUGUUGCUUUGGCGGGCCCACUCCUCCGGUGUUCCGCCGGGGGGGUCGUCCCGGGGCGCGGUGUGCCCCCGGGGCCCGUGCCCGCCAGAGGCACUCACUGUGAACGCUUUUGUGAAUGCGAGGAUUGUCUGAGUGACGAAAUGCAAUCGUUCAAAACUUUCAACAAUGGAUCUCUUGGUUCCGGCAUCGAUGAAGAACGCAGCGAAAUGCGAUAAGUAAUGUGAAUUGCAGAAUUCCGUGAAUCAUCGAAUCUUUGAACGCACAUUGCGCCCUCUGGUAUUCCGGGGGGCAUGCCUGUCCGAGCGUCAUUGCGAACCCUCAAGCACGGCUUGUGUGUUGGGCCGCCGUCCCCUCGUUUGGAGGGGGCGGGCCUGAAAGGCAGCGGCGGCGUCGCGUCCGGUCCUCGAGCGUAUGGGGCUCUGUCACGCGCUCAAGGAGGGGUCCGGCCGGGGCCAUAGCCUCUGAAGGUCAAUUCUUCCAAGGUUGACCUCGGAUCAGGUAGGAGUACCCGCUGAACUUAAGCAUAUCAAUAAGCGGAGGAAAAGAAACCAACAGGGAUUGCCUCAGUAACG